GAUGAACGCUGGCGGCGUGCUUAACACAUGCAAGUCGAACGAGAAAGGGAUUGCUUGCAAUCCUGAGUAGAGUGGCGCACGGGUGAGUAACACGUAGAUAAUCUACCUUCAAGCCCGGGAUAACCCUUCGAAAGGAUGGCUAAUACCGGAUGCAGUUUCAGAACACAAGUUUUGAGAUGAAAGAUUGCCUCUUCUUGAAAGCAAUUGUUUGGAGAUGAGUUUGCGUACCAUUAGCUUGUUGGUGGGUAAAAGCCUACCAAGGCUGCGAUGGUUAGCUGGUCUGAGAGGAUGAUCAGUCACACUGGAACUGGAACACGGUCCAGACUCCGUACGGGAGGCAGCAUG
rnacentral:rRNA from 1 species